AGGUAUUCUUGAUUUGGUUUUUUCUUUUUGUAUUUUGCUUUGCUGCUUUGCAAUGUUACUUAAGAUAGGUAUUUUGUAGGAGAUUGCGAAGAAGAAGGCUAAGGUUGACAAGGCCGGUCCUUCGCGUCCACCAAGCGAGGCGCGUCCUCCGACCCAGGCUCAAGCGGAGGCUCGUGAUGCUGGUGCCAAAGCUCCGGAGGGAUCUGGUGCCAAGGUUUCAGAGUUGCCCGAGACUUCUGCUCCUCCUCCGCCUCAGGUGUGAGGCUUUUUAGUUUUUAGGUUUUUCUUAGUCUUUUUUGCGUCCAAGCAUGUGACGCUUUUUGUAAAUAAGGCCGGAGGUUUUGCUUAUUUUGUACAGACUGUUGAGGAUGUAAUAUAUUAAGUUGUUUUCAGAUAAGCCUUUGUUUUACACUUUGAUCCUGCGCAGGUCUCUGGCGGAGGACCUGCGCAGGAUCAUUUCAUUACUCCCCUUUCGAUUUUUUACAAAGGGAUUUAUGUUUCUGGCGAAUUGUGGGAGUACUGGCGAGUUGCCUUCCCUAACAUGAGAUUGGUGGAUAUGUUCGAGUUUGUUGGAUAUGAUAUUGAUGGCGAAGGAUCUGGAUUUAUCCAGUCGCUUGCGCGCCGAGGUUCAUGGCCUCCGGCUUAGGUGGUGGUUUUUGUUUUGUUUCUACCUUGCCGUAGGCUAUUUGUGUUUUUCUUUUUUUAUGACUUGAUUUGAUGUGUUUAUGCAGUUGAAGUAUCCUAUCCUUCGCAUAUUUGGAGAGGAGAUUGAGGAAUCUUUUUGGCUGGAGGGGCCUGAUGUGUAUGAGCGUUACCUGCCUGGGCGUGUGGAGGUUCGAGACUUUGGUUUUUUGACAAGUUUGAGUCCUUCGCUUGGUUCAGUUUUUUAAGACUUGGAUUUUCUGCGCAGGUUGUUCGUUCCACUCCUGGAUGUGUUCUUUCUCCGCGUUUUGUCGAAGGAAGCUAUGUGACGCCAUUGACGUUCAAGCGUGGCGACUUGUAUGCAAGUGGUUGGUUGAUAGACUGGUGGAGGGCUGCGCGUCCUUCGCUUAAUGUUGACGAUUUGGUUGAUUAUCUCGCACGGGAUUAUUGUAGUGAUUUUAGGGUUUUUGGUGACUCGUGCGUGAGAUUUGUACGUGACUCAUAGAUCCUUCGGUUGUUUAGUCGACGGAGGAUUUGUAUGUUGGAUUUGUACAAGCUACCUAUAACCUUCGACUUUUUAUGGGUCGAAGGAUAAUUUUAUUCUUUCCUUGUAACUGUUCUUUUGUAAUGAUUUCUUCAUCAAUAAUAAAGUUUUUAAGUUUGCUGCAACCUU
rnacentral:lncRNA from 1 species